CACGUAGGCGGCAUAUCAAGUCAGAGGUGAAAGGCCUGGGCUCAACCCGGGAACUGCCUUUGAUACUGGUAUGCUUGAGUUCGGAAGAGGGUAGUGGAAUUCCAAGUGUAGAGGUGAAAUUCGUAGAUAUUUGGAAGAACACCGGUGGCGAAGGCGGCUACCUGGUCCGAUACUGACGCUGAGGUGCGAAAGCGUGGGGAGCGAACA
rnacentral:rRNA from 1 species